GGAGAGGUUCUGUCCCUGAAUCAAAUAUGAAUUCUCACUGAGAACACAUUCUCACCUGAAUUAGAGCAUACAGAGCCUAUGAGAGUUCCUGAAGAUUUCACUGAGACUAAGCACUACAAAUACAAAUAUUUGAAACACACUGGCUAAAACUUCCUGACCAAACACCCUGAACAAUGUACAUGUGUGGAUCUGAGGGAGAUAUGAAUUCAGUCUGGAUCCAGUCCCACAAGGAUCAAUCCCAUGUUGUACAGUACAAAGCAUAACUUUGAGAUUGAAGGGAACUGAAAAUAAAUCCUCAGUUCUGCUUUGGUAAUUUUCCUUUACAGAUAUGCGAAGCACAAACGUUCACAAACAAUAUUCUUACAGAAGGUAUUCUUCUCUUUCAAAUAAUUAUUAUUUAAGGAAAUUCUAACCUCACUUAAAAUGAGAUGGAUCAUGUGAUCAUGCAGAGCUUUGUUGUAGAAAAUAAAUACUAUUAAAAGUAAAAUUAGCUUUGGAAAAGCUCAGGCAACAACCACAAUCAGUCAGCCUAGCAGGCUUAAAUGCGGACAUGCAAGAAAGGCUCAUAUAAUUCAGUGAUGUAAGUUGUGAAAUAAUCUGCUUCCUUGGUGAGAUAGUAGAUCACUAUUUAACACCACCAAGACAAGCACUUCCAGCCUCUUUUAUUUAAGUACUGAACUGCCCUGGCUCUGUAGCUAAAAGUCUGUUGCUACCAGAUGAUGAUGAAGUCAGAGGCAAGAUAACUGGAGAUAAACCUUCACAGAUAUUUCUGUUCCUGAAAUUACUUCCUUUUCUAUGCUCUGCAACUGGCCAUGGGUCACAAGUUUGUUAUUCCCUCUUAAUGUUAAUAAAGCUAAGACAAUUCAACUGACUGAAGAUCAGGUCCUAAAUUUUUGAUGUCCUUGAUAUCCGUCUGUCCUUGUCACCAAGAUAGUGAAACACAGGCAAUGUUUAGGGUCUCAAGUGAGCAAUCUGUGUCUAAAACACUACUGUUACUAGCCCAUAUACUCCACGGAUCACUGCCUGGAUCACAAAAAGUCAGUUUUUGUCUACAUGCUUUCUCGUGUGUGCCUUUUUCUUCCCCCUUCAUAUUCCUCUGUUUGUAUCUGCAAAUGAGCAGUAAUGUAAUUAUUUUGGAAUAGGGAAAAAAAGGAGAGAUGAACAUGACUUUUAAAUACUUCCUUAAAUCUUUUUCUAAGUCACACAUUAUUCUAUAAUUGAGAAUCCCCAGCAGCAGAUUUUUUCACAAAAUGACAGCUUCGGUCCACUACACACAUUUACAUGGAAACUCUCACUCAGAGGGAGUGCCACAACAAAGAUAAAAUCCCAAAGACUGACACUUUGCUGUUAUGAUGUUGUGGAAUAAUAUAGUGUUUUCUGACCCCAAACUUUUCUCCCCUUUGAAAGCAAAUAAGUUGGAAAGUGCUCCUCAAGAAGAUCAGUGAGAAGAGUACAGAGCAUCCUGCAACUUGGGACUGGAGCUUCUGCCUCUUAUUACCAGUUUCUCAGCCCACCUACCUUAACUUCAGAGAUGCAGGAGGAAUGGAGUAUAUGGGAAAUGUAAAUGGCUCAACAAUGCCCAGAAAAUAGCAGGAAGAAGAGUGUAUAGCAAUGAAAAAAAAAAGAGAAAAUACAGAUACAAAACCGAGGAAAUAUCAGUGCUGUUUGUACAGUUCUAUUGUGAGUGUUAUUCUGAGGAGGCCAGGAAUGCUAGGCAGGGGGUCUGUGGUCUAUGGUUUGUUUUUCCAUCAAUACAUAUGUCUGACUUCGAGUAAAAGAUUAACGAGACAGCUAGCAAAUGUCCUAGGAGACAAAUGGAUAAAAUGCUGUUUGUACAUGUCAGAUCAGGGAGGGCUCAUUCUCAUCUCUCAUUCUCUGAAUGAAUCUGCAAGGAUGCACACCUGCACCAGGAAGAUUUCCUUGACGAGGUAACCCUUUCCACUGCAGAACACAUUGAGCACGUCAGCAUACAGCUUACCUGACACGUACAUUCUUUCGGUCAACGUGGUUUGGAAAGAACCUUCCACCUACUUUUUUCUGCAUGUGACGUACUUUGUUGCAUGUUACAGAAAAGCCCCAGGUAAAGUAAAUGGAAACUCUAACCAGCAGCUAUGCACCUGGUGUUUUUGCAUUUCCCAACAGAUAUUACAGUUGCUGGAAUGAUAUGUGAAACUUCUACAACACCUCCUAUUGACAAUUUAGUUAAGGUGUGGCAUGAGAGAGAUCUGUGUUAUAGAUACUAAUGACCCAUAGCCUGUUGCUAAACAGAAGGAAUAAAGGAACCAAGGAAAUGUGCAGGUCUGGGAGAAAAACAAACAAAAAAAACCCACUAAAACUCUACAGAUAUUUACAUUCUCUUGCAUUUGACAACAACCGGUCUGUUGCAGGCUGAGAAGAUUACAAGCAGGUUUUCACACAGUUUCAUUUUCCAGGGAUGGUCACGGUGGUGGACAGAACAAGAAAGCUGUAACUAAAGUUUGUCCUUCCCUAGGUAUCAAGAACUCUGCUGCAUUUUCCUCUUCUGUCGGCAAUUUGUGCUAUUUGUGAUCCUACAGAGCUGAUGGUGUAAUGCAGUUGGCCUGAGUCCCAUUGCAAGGAAUGCAGCGCUGCCAAGUCAACCACCCGUACUAACCACAAUCUCCCUGCAGAUCUCACUCACCUGGCAGCUCAGCUUUGUUUAGUAACGUAAAUAAAAAUGAGAGCACCUUUUCCUUUCUUCGCUGCCCUCCUCCAUCUUUUGGGGGUCUUUUCUGGGAAAAUGCAAGGGAGUUAAGCAGGUUCCCCAGGGCUAAAAGUGACCCAUCACUUAUAACAUGUAACACUGUCAUAACCUUCAACAUCUCUCAUGUUCUGAUUUCUGCUUUACCUGAAACCUGAGAAGUGUGAGUCACGACCAUUUCCCUUAUACCACAAUGAGGAGGAAUGCUGAUAUGUGGGAACUGAUGAAGAAGCACAAGGGAACCAAUGUUCACCUCUUCAUCCCAACGAAAUCUGCUGGUGAAUCACAGGCUGCAAAAUACAACUGAGCAAGUUAAAUUCCACUUCCCUUGAACACGGAAGCAAGUAGUACAUUUUGUCACAUGGCCACAUCAGCAUAUCGCAACAACAAGCAGAGUCACCUGGUGAAACGACCCAUUCAGAGAUUUAGAGGGAAAAUUUCCUUAGGGCAGGUGGCACUGGACAUCUGGCAGCCCUCUAACUUUUGUUCUGAGAGUAAUACCUACGCUGGAGGGCAUCCUGCCAGGAGCUGCACCCACCUGAGACACGGCCAGCUCAAGAUGAAAGGGAACACAAAAUUCAACAGGACAGUUAUCUUUUACUGAUGUUCAGGACCGAGGUACCUGGGAACACAAUAGCUCCCCUUAGGUUUUGGUACUGUUUGGUAAUGUCAGGCAGCUAAGAAAGUUAAUCAGGCCAGAGACAGGCUUCUAUAUGCUUUCUCCACAAGGAUUAAGAACUACUUGCCAAGUAUUCAGAUUGGGUAAUUGCUACCUGGAUUAGCAAAGGGUAUGCAGCCCAAAAAUAAAAUAAUUGCUGAGAGUUUCUGAUAGAUUGCAUCACUCCAUGCCAAAGUAUAUGGCAGAAUGAGAAUCAUCAACAUAUGAUGUAAGGAUACAAGACUGCUCAUAGUACAGACACCACAGCUGAACCCUUUGUGGCUGGCUGAAGGAGAAAAAAUAUUAACACUCACAUUCUGCUUAUAGGAAAGCAAUAAUCUGAUUCUGAACUCCAGAAGCAUUUGUGGAAUCCACAGACUGCCCAAAAUAAUAUUUCCUUUCUUAGAACACAGGGGACAAACAUUCAUCCUUGCUCAAAAACGUAAAUUUGACCAAAGCUAAUUUUACCCCAGUGUCAAACUAUGAGAUCAUUGUUCUAUCAGCAUACAAGUUUAGCAUCACAUACUUUGUGACCAAAUGCAACCUGGAGCAGAGCCUAUACUGUCCAUCAGGAGUGCUGCUCACAGGAUAAAAACAUACAUCAUCCAUUGUAUUUGACUAAAUAGACCGAGUGAAACUCAAGUUUCUUCUUACAUAAAUGAUUAGGUGUUACAAAGAUAUACGGAAACAUCAGGUAUUCCGCAUAUUACAACAUGAUUAUAUGCAAGAGUGUAAGAUUCCUGAACUAUUUUAGUGGUCCUUUUCUUCUCUGUAUCCACACAGUAAUACAAUCAGGGGAAGAGAACAGAAAUUAUUCAAAUUUUCACUCCUUUCCCAUCAGCCAUGCAUACAGUGCUGACUCAGGAACAAACAUUAAAAAGCAAGAGUCAUGAGGGAACGUACAAAUCCAAUUGUACGUCUCCCAAGGGAAGUCAUUACAACAGUGUCAAACAGGCCUUAAGUAGGAGGAAUGAAUGAACAGGAAGGGGGAAUAUUUGGCAGGAUGGAAAAAAAAAGCACUGGUAGAGAAGGUCCCGAUAACAGCAAACUACAUCAACGUGCUCAGCACCCAAACUGCACUGCAAUCCUAAGGUUUUUAAGGAGGAAAGUGGUAGCGUGUAUCAAGCAUUCAUAAGGAAGACAUGAUAUAGAAAUAAAGGAGAGGCACAGCAUUAAAAUAUCCAGUGCAUGGCCCAGUUAUGUGUGCCAUUAGAAGAUUACACUCCUCGUUGUUUUGUUACGUUUACAACUAAAAUCAUUAAUUUUUGACAUAACUGCAAACAGACGAAAAACUAAAUCUCUAAAAAUGCAGGAAGACAGCAUUAUUAUUAGGGCUUAUUCAAACUACCAAACCUGGCCAUGGAUGAAAUAUUAAUUAAAGGUUGCAUUUGGAACCUUCAGAAAAAUGAUUAUUCAACACAGCAAUGAUGUUUUGCCCAAUUGUUUAAUAAAAUUUUAUCUUACUGUGCAGCCAAGCUUAGACCAAAAACGUUAGCGAAUAAAGGAUCACAGAGCUCUAAUGACAGGCUGAAACUGGGGAAAGACAUGUGUGUAUUAAUAUUUAGCUUCAGAAAAUAUGCAAAUUGCUUAAAUAUCACUGCUUUUGUCUUCCGUAAGAGAUAAUGGUUAAAUAGUCAACCUUAUUUCAAUGACGGGUAGAUCAUCAAAUUAGCACCUAAAUUAAGGAUCCAAUUAGUCUCUAAUAAAUAAUUUGUCAAUAAAAGCAAAACCAGUACGAUUUAA